GUGUGUCCCACUGCAGGCAGGGACUCCCCCCACCCCCCAGUGUCACCCCAACGUCCCCAUGGUGUCCCCAGAGCCAGCUGGGUGGCGCAAGGCUGUGGUGGUGACAUGUGGCCCUGUCACCCCUAUAAAGGGGACCAAUGGGCAGAGCCCCCCAGAGCCCCCAGGUGAGGAGCGAGGAUGGGGACAGGGACAUGGAGGGGGACAUCAGAGUGGGCUCAGCCCCUGGCUGCUGGGGUGGGGACCAGAGGUGGGCAUCCCUGAGGCUGGGACCAGGGUGUCAGGGGGACACAAUGGGUCUCUGGGAUGCCAGGAGUAUAUGGGAGUGUCACAGGGGAUGGAGGGACAGUGGGGAUAUGGGAUACAGAGGGGCAAGGUGGGACACAAGGUGGGACUGGGGGUGGCAGAAGGACAGUGGGGACAUGGGGGAUGGCAGAAGGGCCACAGAGAGAACAGAUUGUUACCAAGGGUGGCAGAGAGGCUCUGGACUAUGGUGGGGGGUGGCCAAGGGUGACAGGGCUGAGGCAUCUCCAGAGAAUGCUGGUGGUGUCCUCAGUGUCCCACUGCCAUGUGGCCCUGCCUGCUGCUCGCUCUGGCCCUCCUGGGCACUGUCGCUGCCAGCUACCCUGGUGAGUGUCCCCCUGCCCCAGUGAGUGUCCCCCACAGCCCUGCCCGCCCCCAGGAACACCCUGGGAUGUCCCUGCCACCCCAGCGCCAUGCCCACCCCACUGACACCACAUGCCUGGGGCUGGGGCUAGCAGAGGGACCCCUGGUACCUGUCCUCUGCCCUGCAGCCCCCCGCCAGCUGCAGGGGGUCCCUGCUGGUGAGACCCCCCCGCUGUACUACACCGUGGUGAAGAAGCUGCGCACCUAUGCCCAAGCCCAGCGCUACUGCCAGGACGUGUACCGGGGGCAGCUGGCCUCGGUGCACAGCGCUUCCCGCAACCAGGAGCUGCACAAACUGGCACGAACCUACAAAAUCCUCAUCUCACCCUGGAUCGGAGCUGUCACCAGCAAAAGGGUGAAGGGACAACGGGGACAAGGGGCUACCAAAGGGGUGCUGGGUGCUGGUGAGACCAGCUGGGGGCUGCUUUGGGGGGUGAGGGACUGGGGUGCUGGGUGCUGGGGCUGCAUACUGGGGGAUGAGCCUGGGCACUGCAUACUGGGGCUGGAGGCUGGGUUUGGAGGCAUGAGGGGCUGGGUAUUGGCUGCUGGGGCGGGUUUUUGGGGUUGAGGGGCUGGGUAGGGCUGGUGGGGGCUGUCACUGGGGACUGAAGUGUUGGCACAGCAGGCAGGGAAGUGGGAGUCCCACUGGGAGGACUCCAGCCCCUGGAACUACGCGAACUGGGCACCCACCCAACCCCUGCACAUUGUCACCACCUGCACCACCCUCAGUGCCCGAGAUGGGCUCUGGAGAAGCCGCUUCUGCCUCCAGCUGCGCCCCUUCAUCUGCCAGUACUGAGCCCCCAGUGCUGCCAUCGCAUCCCAGCUCCUUUCCCAAUAAAGCAGAGGUGCCCUGA